GACGAACGCUGGCGGCGUGCUUAACACAUGCAAGUCGAACGGAAAGGCCCUGCUCUUGUGGGGUGCUCGAGAGGCGCACGGGUGAGUAACACGUGAGUAACCUCCCCUUGACUUUGGGAUAACUCCAGGAAACUGGGGCUAAUACCGGAUAGGAGCUCCUGCUGCAUGGUGGGGGUUGGUAAGUUGCGGCGGUUGGGGAUGGACUCGAGGCUUAUCAGCUUGUUGGUGGGGUAGUGGCUUACCAAGGCUUCGACGGGUAGCCGGCCUGAGAGGGUGACCGGCCACAUUGGGCCUGAGAUACGGCCCAGACGCCUACGGGAGGCAGCAGUGGAGAAUAUUGCACAAUGGGCCGAAGCCUGAUGCAGCAACGCCGCGUGCGGAAUGACGGCCCUUGGGGUAUAAACCGCUUUCGACUGUGACGAAGCGUGAGUGACGGUAAUGAGUAAGAAAGCACCGGCUAACUACGUG
rnacentral:rRNA from 1 species